UACGUAGGGCGCAAGCGUUAUCCGGAAUUAUUGGGCGUAAAGGGCUCGUAGGCGGUCUGUCGCGUCGGGAGUGAAAACUCAGGGCUUAACCCUGAGCCUGCUUCCGAUACGGGCAGACUAGAGGUAUGCAGGGGAGAACGGAAUUCCUGGUGUAGCGGUGAAAUGCGCAGAUAUCAGGAGGAACACCAGUGGCGAAGGCGGUUCUCUGGGCAUUACAUGACGCUGAGGAGCGAAAGUGUGGGGAGCGAACAGG
rnacentral:rRNA from 1 species